GGCCUGCUUUGGGUGCGACCACGCUUCUUUCUAGGAGGUACCUGUUCGCCUGUACCUGCGUCCCUAGCAGCUUGGGAGCCCUGCCAGUGCCCCUGGAACUGAACUCCCAGGUGGUGCCAACAGCCCCAGCUUCUCCAAGAGCCAUUCGACUUCCGCCUUGUUCCUUCCCCCCUUCCAAGAGAGCUGGUGCUUCGAGAAACUGCCACAGAUGGGCCAAGGAGAAACACACAUGCUUGUUUUUAAUUUACUUGAAAUCCUCUUUUCUUGGUGCUACUGGGACGGGCGGCUGCCAGGCUCUCCCGGCCGAGCGGCUGGGGACUCGGCCCUGAGGACCAACUCGCUGCAGCAGAGGGAUGAGCUGCUUCAGAUGGAGAACUAAAAGCACAUGCAUUGAGGACUUCCCUGGUAGUCCAAUGGUUAAGGAUCUGCCUUACAAUGCAGGGUAUGUGGGUUUGAUCCCUGGUUGGAGAACUAAGAUCCCACGUGCCGAGGAGCAGCUAAGCCCAUGUGCCACAACUAGAGAGUUACGUUGUACUGAAAGCUCCUGCCUGCUACAACUGAGACGUGGGAAGAUCCCAUGUGAUACAACAAAGAUCCUGAUGCAGCCAAGUAAAUAUUUUUUAAAAAACA